CCCACCCAGACAUUCACCCUGGGUCACAGUGGUGGAAAUAGCUGCUAUUGCUAUUUCAGGUGACAGCAAUAAAUAAGGAAGGGAAACUCAGAUGAGAAAGGUAAUGCUGGCAGUUUUGGAAGAUGGGAUAAGGCUUUGCAAGACAAUAUUCAGAGGAGAAUUCAGCAAAGAGUCGUUCUUCUCCCUUUCACAAUCUAUCCAUCUUCCAGAUGGCAAGAUAAACCUACUAAGGAAAGCGA